rnacentral:misc_RNA from 1 species
UCGAGAACUCGAAGAGAUGAUCGUCACCCUUCAGCUAACUCCCGGCACCAUACUAUCCGAACAUACCCUUGCACUGAAACUGAAGAUCGGCCGAACUCCGAUUCGCGAAGCGCUGCAACGUCUCGCGCGCGACGGUCUCGAUGCCGAGGCGCGGCAUCAUGGUCUCGGAGAUCAAUCUCAGGCUGCAACUGCGGCUGCUCGAAGUGCGCCGCGAGCUUGAGCGGCUGAUGGCGAGACUGGCAGCCGAACGNNNNUGAAGAACGUCAGGAAUUCGCGGAAGUCGCUCGUGGAAUGCUCAAGGCGGCAGCUCAGGCG